UAUAACUGUAUAUCACUGUUGAUAAUGAAUUUAUCACCUGUGCAUAUGUACAUGCUCUAAUUUGGGUUGUAUUUGCAGGCAGGAAAGCCAGGGUGUACUGGGAUCCCCACGUCAAAACUUUCGACAACAAACACUACAAUUACCACAAACCUUGUAACUUUUCAUUGGUCCAACCUGGUUUGAUACAGACUCCUAAAUAUGGAGUUUAUGCUCAGUUUGCUGAGUGCAUAGGACUUGGUACCUGUAUUGAAAAAAUAGUAUUCAAGGACAAUAAUAAUACUGUAAUCACCAUCUCUGUGAGAAAUAAGGAAGAGCUUACCGUAUUUCUGAACGGCAAGGAGUUCCCCGUCAGCAGCGACACCCCCUCCUUCAUGGUCCAGGACGGCGUGCAGCAUCCCGUGCUCGC